rnacentral:tRNA from 1 species
GUUUAGAUAGUUUAAAAAAAACGUUAGUUUGUGGUACUGAAGUUAUAAGUAAUUAUUUUAAAUA